rnacentral:lncRNA from 1 species
AUCACAUCCUACAUGUCACUGAGUUUCCAGUGAACUCUGAGAAGAUUCCACUGCCAAGUUUGCAGGUAUGUAAAAUCAGAGAAAGUGUAUAAUUUGAUGUUGUCAGUAUUGGAACGCUCCUGCACUGACAGUGGGUCAGUCCUUAAUACACACACACACUUACAGUGAAUGCACACUAAAGUCAAUGAGUCUGUGAGAGUGGAAUUUGGGAUUUUGCCACUGCUCUGCUUUCUUACCCUCAUCUCCCAGGGUGAUCCCAUCAUGAUGUUUCUCAGGAAGCAAAGGAUUGGACACACUAAAUUGAGGAGUCUACAUCUAAUCCUUUGACUGUGAUGGACAUCAUCCUGCCUCAACAGCAUGAUUUCAAUUUUGAGAAAUUUUCAUCCUCAUUUAUUUACACUACACAAGACAUGGAUCACAUGCUACGAUGCACAAACACACAAUAUUAUUAUUGGAGUGCACAAUAAUUAUGGCCGGAGCACAAGGCCAAGGCCGGACUCCCAAGAAAGAGGACAUGUCUGGGUUAAAGAGGACGUAUGGUCACCCUAGCAUACGAAGAUUGCAUAGCUCACCUGGGGGAUAUGCUGUUUGAGCGAAGCGUCAUCACAGCGACUCUUGGCGACUCUCCUGCCGAAUGUGUACAACGCUACUGCGCAAGUGGUGGUUCCAGGAAGUAGAGAAAAUCCCAGAAAUACCGAGAGCAAUUCGGCUUCAAAUUCGUAUAAUGAUGGGAGGCGGAACCAAGUUAUCCAUAGUAUAUACAGUCUAUGUUUACGUCUAAUAACGGCUGACCUUCUUCUGGGGCCUGCCUCGUGUGGCCAUUCAAGGAACUCUUGUUUGGCAUUUCCUUUUUUCCACAUGUCACUUUAAAAGUUUGAUCCUACCAAGUCUAACUGGGUCAAACAUGCUCCUUUAGCAUGAUGUAUUUUCAUCAAGGGAGCUGUGUAGUUGAAGUAAUGUACAAGAGGACUGCUCAUGUAAAUCAGAAUCAACUGUCUCAGCGAGAAUUAAAUGGGACAACUGUAUAUUAUCCCAAACUGGACAGAAAGUUCCUGUAGCAUGAGAAAAGGCAGAGAAUAGAGGGAACCCUUCCAGUUGUCUGUUUUCUGUAUUAACAUAUCCCUAUCACUACUGUCAGUUCUCUGUCACCGCUGGAGACCAGAACCAUGACAUCAUUCCCAAAUGUUUUGAAUGUCCAUAACGUUCUCAAUGACAGAACCGCCAGAGGGAUUGGUUCCACUACAGGCUGCGGUCCAAAUGUUCUCAAUAUUAGCUCCGCUCUGAAGUACAUCCCACUUCUGACAAUCAUGAGGACAUUCUCAAGAUGAUGUUAUAGAUUAGCAAUCAAUAACAGACAUCAUUUUUCAACUUUCACUUAAAGAGACAAGCCCGAUUGAGAAAUUGCUUAGACAGGCGUGUUUUUCCUCGAGGGUCUGUGAUGGUUUAAGUCUCUAUUGUUUGACCACGAGCAUAUGCUUCUGCUUAAGGGAGUUUCUUGACAUGGGAUACAUUUUUAAUCAUUUGUUAUGAAGAACAAAGAGGAGAUUUAAAAUAACCACACAGUCGUCCGAUGUAAGCAUACUGUAAGAUAAUCUAUUUUAUCUUCAGCACAACGAGGAUUUAAUACCAUGCAGAAAUUCUAGCUUUCAUAAGCCACCACAAGAGGAAAAAAAAGCGAGAAAGACUAGAAAGUGUCUGGUGAACUGUUCGUCCAUUUGUGCGUAUGUGAAUGGGUAUGAAAAAACCUGAAUGUAUGCACAGUCAAAUAGGAUUUUAAUGAAUUAUCAACAUUUAAACAUCUUUUUCCAUCUCUUUUCAGACUUCCAUUAAAAAGCAAUCAAAAGAUGCUUCUCCUUCCUCUUCCUCUGACAGCAAAUCUCAACAUCUGACAGUCCUGCUGACUGUGUUCUUCCUCUGUCUCGUCCCCAGACUGCUGCUCCAGCUCCACCCGCCUCAUGCUAAAAGCCGUCCAGCUGAGAUAAUUGGCCCCCCUGUCCACCUUUUCCUGCCAUUCAUGCUGCCUGAAAGCCUUUCCCUCACAGGGGAAACGAAGACGGCGGCUCUCUGUGCUCGUCCUCUCUGUUUGGCCUCUCAUCCUCGUAGACUAACUGCACAUUAAUUUUCAUUCGGUGGACUGUUAGGACUCAGUAAUGAUGACAUCUGUCACUGGGAGCUGGGGGUGUCUUUGGGGUCUUGUGACAGAAAAAAGGGAAGAAGAAUAGAAAAUGAGUCCAGGAAAAAAAAAAGCUGAAAAAAGGCGAAGAUUCCUCUCUGACAUUUGGGGAAAAUGGAAAUGCCACUUAAUACUUCACACUGUGACAUUAUUGUCUAAAUAAAUCCUAAAGCUUACUAUAGUGUGGGAUCUGGAUCUUAUGCCAUUAGAUGAUCCAAAGACUACAAUUCAAAUCUACAAUUUAUUCUUCUGAAUGAUCAAAAAUGAAUGUUACUUAAUGUCCAGGGCAUAAAAAGUCAUCAUCAAUAAAGCUGCAUGUGAAUCUUGGUAACAAAUACUCAAUUUAUAUGCAAAUGGGCAGAUCUUGUAUCAGCCACUGUGAUAAUGUAAUGUUAUACGAGAAACUAACCCACAUGAAAUAUAAGUAUUAAUUCAGACACACAUGGAGAUAAAAGCCACGAUGAAAAAUAGGUCUAAUAUGAGCGCAAUUAUUUUCAUCAGUCAGUAUUUCUCAUGUUAAAGAGUGCUGCAAAAUCUGUAUAUGUCUUGCAUGAGUGGUAAAUUUUAACAUGAAACAUUUUUUUAGUGUCUUAUAUACGUAUAUAACAUAAUAUCCUAAACUUUUACUGUUUACAAAAUUUUAGGUGGAUUAUAAAAAGGAAAAAUAUAAAUAUUUCAUUGGUCAGCUGGAGAGGAGAGGAGUUAGACAAACAAUCCAGACCUGCACAUAAAGCUGCAAAAACUGCAUUCAUUGUCCUUGUUUGUAGUCCCAGAUCUUCACCAGACAAAUGAUAAAACACUACUGUUUGCUUGACAGAGGUCUGGGACUACAACUUUGCUAAUUAAUAUGUUUUUUCACCGGUUGUUGUGCCUGAG